rnacentral:lncRNA from 10 species
CACUGGAAGAAAAAUGAUACAAUAAAUGAUGCUUAAGCAACGUUAUCCAUAAGAAAAAAAUUAAUGUCCUAAAUUAUAUCAUGAACAAUAAGUUUCAGAAAAAUGGAAGCAAAUAUGAGGAAUAUUUUUACAAAUUUGUUAGUUGGGGGGAGUCAUAAGCCAAACUUUUGACUACAUAAAAUCUUAAAGCUUUAAUACAGUGAAAGACAUCAUGUUACAAAAUAAUGGACAGAAGAGACCUGCAACAAUAGAAGAGACAAAGGAUUAACUGUGCAGGGACAUAUGUAAUUUUACAUGUAUGUGCACACAUCUCUGUGUGUCUGUGUGUAAUUUCCUCUCUCUUACACAACAAACAUCCCAACAGAAAAACAGACAAAGAACAUUAAAAGGCAUUUCAUAGCCAAAAAAAAAGUGUAAUAGGUACUUAAAUUGAUGCUCAACUUACAAAUAAAUGCAAUUCAAAUAAAAUUCAGAGAUAACAUUUUAAAAAAUUGAUGAGAAUUGCAAAAAUUAGUAAGACUAAUGAAACUGGUGUUGCCAGUGAUAUACCUUUUAUGGUGAUACUUUUUUCAACAUCCAUAGCCUUACACCUAAGAUAUUAAAAAUUUACUGUAAAGAAAUACCCCAACAGCACACAAAAAACCCCAAAAAAACAACUCUGCAAUAUAGCUUAUAAAAGCUUUGUUUCUACAACAGUAAAAAAUUAAGAGGCAACAAGGGAACAAGGAGCAUUCAAGAUAUUUCUAAGUUAAAAAGAAAAGAAAGUUGCAGAAUAGUAUGUAGUAUAAUUCCGUUUUUGUUUUAAAAAACAACAUAGGUUGGCUUAUUGUGUAAAGUUAAACUGGAAGAAAAGUACCAAAUUUUUAAUAAUUGUGACUUUUAAUGGAUGAAAUUAUGAAAAAUGUUAACUCUUUGUAUAAUGUAUGUCUAUUAAUCUUUUAUUUAACAUGAAUGACUUUUUAAAAUGAAAGAAAAGGCAAUGACUUAUACGUACAAAUUCUCAGAUGGUUUCUAAUUCAAUGUUAACAUUGAAAACACAGAAUUUAGGAGCAAGAAGAAUCUUCAAGUACUUUUAGAUAUGUUUACUGGAAUAUUUAAGUGAUUAAAUAAUAUAGCGUUUGUUUCUAUUUGGGGGUUAGUGUAUGAACAAUCAGAAGUUUCGCCAUGAGUUGCUAAGUAUAUAAAUUGGGUUAACAUUACAUGGGGGCCCAUCGCACCAUAUUCCCAAAUAACAGAACUAACACACUUAGCAUAUUUUGAAAUGUUUAAUAGUGACCCCACUCUUUUCUUGGUAAUACUUUGUUUCUGGAAUUUUAUGGGAUAGUAUGAUAUUAUUACUUCGAUAAAAUGCAAAUUUCAGUUGUAGAAUAUAUAGUCUGUACAGAAAUGUCAAAUCUAGUAGACAGCUACUGGUAAAGUUAUUCCUCUUACUAGGUAUCAGAGGAGUAAGGUAAUUUUUGUCACCACCAAUUAAAAACUUUUACAAAAUAGGACUGUUAUAAAACAAUUAAACCUUGCAAAUGCACUAGUCUCCAGGAAGAAAGUCCUGGAGGAAAUUCUGCUUAUUAAAAUUGCAAUUUUAGUUUCCAUUAAAAGGAGAAUAAGACAACAGAAGAUGGGUUGGCAAGACAAAUUAUUUCUUAAUGUCAGUUGAGCUUAUUUCAAAUGAGAUAACGUACUACACCAGGUUGGGUUCAGUACAAUUUUGUCUCCUCAACUCAUUUAUCUAAUUCAGUCAUCUUGAUUAUAGCCUUAUGGACUUCAUUUUCGGAGAAAGAAUUCUGUAACAAACAGCCUACACAACAUGCUGAUUACUGAACGGUUAAUUCUAAUUAACUUGGGCAUGGCAAGAGAAUUUUGAUAAAGUCCUAGAAUACAAAUAUAGUCUGCUUAUACUGGACUAACUUAUAUAAAAACCCACAGCAUAGUCUCCAGACAAGACAAGAGAGUCAAAGAGAUCUAAUUUAAAGAAACAAAUGAGAAAAUUAAAAUCACAAAUAAUUUAUUCUUCCGUUAGAGUUGAUACAGUUUUAAAUAGCAACAAAGUACACAGUGGUGGAAAAUUGGCACAGAACCUACAAGCAUUUCAAUCACAAUAAGGCUGUCCAUGAUUUAUCUGUUCAAACUUGAUGUCCAUUUUCUACUGAUCAAGUUGAAAGAAAAAACCUAUUCUGGCCAGGCACGGUGGCUCACGCCUGUAAUCCCAGCACUUUG